AUUGAACGCUGGCGGCAGGCCUAACACAUGCAAGUCGAGCGGAUGAAGGGAGCUUGCUCCUGGAUUCAGCGGCGGACGGGUGAGUAAUGCCUAGGAAUCUGCCUUGUAGUGGGGGAUAACGUCCGGAAACGGGCGCUAAUACCGCAUACGUCCUGAGGGAGAAAGUGGGGGAUCUUCGGACCUCACGCUAUCAGAUGAGCCUAGGUCGGAUUAGCUAGUUGGUGGGGUAAAGGCCUACCAAGGCGACGAUCCGUAACUGGUCUGAGAGGAUGAUCAGUCACACUGGAACUGAGACACGGCCCAGACUCCUACGGGAGGCAGCAGUGGGGAAUAUUGGACAAUGGGCGAAAGCCUGAUCCAGCCAUGCCGCGUGUGUGAAGAAGGUCUUCGGAUUGUAAAGCACUUUAAGUUGGGAGGAAGGGCAGUAAGUUAAUACCUUGCUGUUUUGACGUUACCAACAGAAUAAGCACCGGCUAACUUCGUG
rnacentral:rRNA from 1 species